rnacentral:lncRNA from 1 species
UGAACUUACCCUGAUCCUUUCUGUUGGAUUCGCUGGUAAUCUUUGGAUCAGGUGUUAGUCUCUGGUAGGACUUACUUAAUACGGGUCUUCCGGAAGACGUUGUUUGUUGAAUAUCUUGGAUGUGUAGAUCCAUGUGAGAUCUAUGUGAUUGUUUUAAUGUUGGGAUUUGAAGAAGAUUGUAUAAUUUGAGAAAUUGAUCAUGUAACUUGGUUUUCUCUUUUGAUUUAAUUGCGUAUAUUAUAAAAUUCUAUUUUCACUAGCUUACCCUUGCUUUUCUUGUUGUGUUUGAACUGCGAUGACUGUACUACGUACACGAGCAAAUGAUCUUACAGGUGUCUGAGGAUCAGAAGAGUUUUAAGGCGUUGAUUUUGA